rfam:Stachybotrys chartarum IBT 40288 unplaced genomic scaffold C40866, whole genome shotgun sequence.
GUCCAAGUGGUGAAAUUGGUAAACACAACGAACUUAAGCUUCGUUGACAUUUAGUCUUGGAGGUUCGAGUCCUUCCUCGGACA